rnacentral:lncRNA from 1 species
AGAGAGUAAAUGCAGUAGUCUCUUCCAGCCUCGAAGCGGAUAAAAAGGAUCAUCGAACAACAACAAAUAACCCUUGGGCUCGGAAAAGUACGGCAAAAAGCAGUUUCUGUCUUGUUUCCGGCUUCUAAAUAACAGUACGGGAAUGCAAAAAAAUCGAAAGAAUCUUCCUGGCCUCUAAGACUCCCGUGGCUUAGAUUACUAUCAGAAGUUCCCGAGGAGCUGAGAAGAGAGACCAUAGCCAAUUAGAAAACUCAUGCGCGAAGGAUGUGAAGUCUACA